CAACUUCUGAAUGUUGACCUCGAAUCAGGUAGGAAUACCCGCUGAACUUAAGCAUAUCAAUAAGCGGAGGAAAAGAAACCAACAGGGAUUGCCCCAGUAACGGCGAGUGAAGCGGCAACAGCUCAAAUUUGAAAUCUGGCUCUCGGGCCCGAGUUGUAAUUUGUAGAGGAUGCUUUUGGUGAGGUGCCUUCCGAGUUCCCUGGAACGGGACGCCAUAGAGGGUGAGAGCCCCGUCUGGUUGGACACCGAUCCUCUGUAAAGCUCCUUCGACGAGUCGAGUAGUUUGGGAAUGCUGCUCUAAAUGGGAGGUAUAUGUCUUCUAAAGCUAAAUACCGGCCAGAGACCGAUAGCGCACAAGUAGAGUGAUCGAAAGAUGAAAAGAACUUUGAAAAGAGAGUUAAAAAGUACGUGAAAUUGUUGAAAGGGAAGCGCUUGUGACCAGACUUGGGCUUGGUUGAUCAUCCGGGGUUCUCCCCGGUGCACUCUUCCGGCUCAGGCCAGCAUCAGUUCGCCCUGGGGGAUAAAGGCUUCGGGAAUGUGGCUCUCUCCGGGGAGUGUUAUAGCCCGCUGCGUAAUACCCUGUGGCGGACUGAGGUUCGCGCAUCGCAAGGAUGCUGCGUAAUGCAU
rnacentral:rRNA from 1 species